CAAGGUUUGACAUGCAGGGAAAAGCCGUAGAGAUAUGGUGUCCGUAAGGGUCCUGCACAGGUGGUGCAUGGCUGUCGUCAGCUCGUGUCGUGAGAUGUUGGGUUAAGUCCCGCAACGAGCGCAACCCUCGUCCUAUGUUGCCAGCGGGUCAUGCCGGGGACUCAUAGGAGACUGCCGGGGUCAACUCGGAGGAAGGUGGGGAUGACGUCAAGUCCUCAUGCCCCUUAUGUCUUGGGCUGCAAACAUGCUACAAUGGCCAGUACAAAGGGUUGCGAGACCGCAAGGUGGAGCGAAUCCCAAAAAGCUGGUCUCAGUUCGGAUUGGGGUCUGCAACUCGACCCCAUGAAGUCGGAGUCGCUAGUAAUCGCGAAUCAGCAACGUCGCGGUGAAUACGUUCCC
rnacentral:rRNA from 1 species